CUUCAAGAGAAUCAAGACGUCCAGUUACCCGUGGCCAUCCACGCCGCCGUGCAUCACAAAUUUUGGUUCCGCAACCUGACAUUGCAGCUGCUAAUCAAAAUCGCCUUAAACGACGGAUGCUUAUGUAUGCUAAGAGAACAGGAGAUUCCUCCAUGUCAACAUCAAACACUACAAGUUUGGACACCUUUCGGACACCUCCUUCACCGAUAUCAACAUCAGCCUCACACACCCAGCACCAUAUUAUUGGUACCAUCACAGCCUCCCAUUCAUCAGAGUCUAUUCCAACAACUUCAAAUCAAAUAUUUAACCACAAAAGAACAAUCUUCAGUGCUUUAAAUCUUGGUGGUCCCCGUUGUUCCUGUCAACAUUGUGGUGCUUUGUUUUGGUAUGAAGAGCGUCUUCGGCGUGAUAGGAACACACCAAACCCAAAAUAUAAUUUAUGUUGUAAAGAUGGCCUCAUCCUUCUUCCACCAUACCAGCCUCCCCCACAACCCCUCCUAUAUUUGUUAACGCAACAUGGAAACCCUCUUACAAGACACUUCUUUGACCAUAUCUGACAGUACAACACCAUGUUUGCAAUGACAUCAA